rnacentral:rRNA from 1 species
GCACCUUCGGGUGAGCGGCGGAACGGGUNCCCUAACGCGUGGGAAUAUGCCCAUCCCUACGGAAUAGCCUCGGGAAACUGAGAGUAAUACCGUAUACGCCCUUCGGGGGAAAGAUUUAUUCGGGGAUGGAUUAGCCCGCGUCUGAUUAGAUAGUUGGUGGGGUAACGGCCUACCAAGUCGACGAUCAGUAGCUGGUUUGAGAGGAUGAUCAGCAACACUGGGACUGAGACACGGCCCAGACUCCUACGGGAGGCAGCAGUGGGGAAUCUUAGACAAUGGGCGCAAGCCUGAUCUAGCCAUGCCGCGUGAGUGACGAAGGUCUUAGGAUCGUAAAGCUCUUUCGCUGGGGAAGAU